rnacentral:rRNA from 1 species
AGGAACCUGCCUCAAAGAGGGGGACAACAGUUGGAAACGACUGCUAAUACCGCAUAAGCCCACGGGUCGGCAUCGACCAGAGGGAAAAGGAGCAAUCCGCUUUGAGAUGGCCUCGCGUCCGAUUAGCUAGUUGGUGAGGUAAUGGCCCACCAAGGCGACGAUCGGUAGCCGGACUGAGAGGUUGAACGGCCACAUUGGGACUGAGACACGGCCCAGACUCCUACGGGAGGCAGCAGUGGGGAAUAUUGCACAAUGGGGGAAACCCUGAUGCAGCGACGCCGCGUGGAGGAAGAAGGUCUUCGGAUUGUAAACUCCUGUUGUUGAGGAAGAUAAUGACGGUACUCAACAAGGUAGUGACGGCUAACUACGUGCCAGCAGCCGCGGUAAAACGUAGGUCACAAGCGUUGUCCGGAAUUACUGGGUGUAAAGGGAGCGCAGGCGGGAAGACAAGUUGGAAGUGAAAUCUAUGGGCUCAACCCAUAAACUGCUUUCAAAACUGUUUUUCUUGAGUAGUGCAGAGGUAGGCGGAAUUCCCGGUGUAGCGGUGGAAUGCGUAGAUAUCGGGAGGAACACCAGUGGCGAAGGCGGCCUACUGGGCACCAACUGACGCUGAGGCUCGAAAGUGUGGGUAGCAAACAGGAUUAGAUACCCUGGUAGUCCACACCGUAAACGAUGAUUACUAGGUGU